rnacentral:rRNA from 1 species
AUGCUUGUCUCAAAGAUUAAGCCAUGCAUGUGUAAGUAUAAGUAUUGUACAGCGAAACUGCGAAUGGCUCAUUACAUCAGUUAUAGUUUAUUUGAUAUUUGAAAGUUACAUGGAUAACCGUGGCAAUUCUACAGCUAAUACAUGCUUCAAAAACCUGACUUCGGAAGGGUUGUAUUUAUUAGAUAUUAAACCAUCCCCUCGGGGCUGUGAUGAAUCAUAAUAACUGAUCGAAUCGAGGUUCGCCUUGAUAAAUCAUUCAAGUUUCUGCCCUAUCAGCUGUAGAUGGUAGUGUAUUGGACUACCAUGGCUAUUACGGGUAACGGAGAAUUAGGGUUCGAUUUCCGGAGAGGGAGCCUGAGAAACGGCUACCACAUCUACGGAUGGCAGCAGGCGCGCAACUUACCUAAUCUCGAUUCGAGG